rnacentral:rRNA from 1 species
CGUAGGCAUCAAGCGUUGUCCGGAUUUAUUGGGCGUAAAGAGCUCGUAGGCGGUUCAGCAAGUCGGGUGUGAAAACUCUGGGCUUAACCCAGAGCCUGCACUCGAAACUGCUGUGACUAGAGUUCGGUAGGGGAGCAGGGAAUUCCUAGUGUAGCGGUGAAAUGCGCAGAUAUUAGGAGGAACACCAAUGGCGAAGGCACUGCUCUGGGCCGAUACUGACGCUGAGGAGCGAGAGCGUGGGUAGCAAACAGGAUUAGAUACCCUGGUAGUCCACGCCGUAAACGAUGGGCACUAGGUGUGGGUCUCUAACCAACGAGAUCUGCGCCGUCGCUAACGCAUUAAGUGCCCCGCCUGGGGAGUACGGUCGCAAGACUA